rnacentral:rRNA from 1 species
CCUACGGGAGGCAGCAGUGGGGAAUCUUCCACAAUGGGCGAAAGCCUGAUGGAGCAACGCCGCGUGGAUGAAGAAGGUCUUCGGAUCGUAAAACCCUGUUGUUAGAGAAGAAAGUGCGUGAGAGUAACUGUUCACGUUUCGACGGUAUCUGACCAAGAAGCCGCGGCUAACUACGUGCCAGCAGCCGCGGUAAUACGUAGGUGGCAGGCGUUAUCCGGAUUUGUUGGGCGUAAGGGGAACGCAGGCGGUCUUUUAAGUCUGAUGUGAAAGCCCUCGGCUUAACCGGAGUAGUGCAUUGGAAACUGGGAGACUUGAGUGCAGACGAGGAUAGUGGAACUCCAGGUGUAGCGGUGAAAUGCGUAGAUAUAUGGAAGAACACCAGUGGCGAAAGCGGCUCUCUGGUCUGUAACUGACGCUGAGGUUCGAAAGCGUGGGUAGCAAACAGGAUUAGAUACCCCAGUAGUC